ACCAUGCAGCCUGGCCUGCUACUGCUUCAUUCAUUCAGAUCAUUGCCGGAGGAGCAGCUUAGAAGCUCGGCUAUGGUGUCCUGGGAUCAGAUAGUUGAGGCUUGCAGUAGGAAGAUGUGAUUCCCCUCAAUAUCCUUAAGGAACAGGCUGGGCAGUAUGUAUCUUUUGCAUCAAGCUCUCCAAAUAUUUUUGCCGCAAAAACAUCAUGUAAGAUCAUUUGAAGCACAUCAUCUUUUCUACCAAAGAACUAUUUUGGAUUAUAUAAUCGGGAAGAAAAUAGGAGAGUUGCUGUCAUCUUUUUUAUUGGUUUGAAGACUCCAUGUGCUCCUGACAUUGAGAUUUUAAGUGACUUCUGGUCGAUUCAUAUUGUUUUGUUACAACAGUCCGGUAGAAAGCAAGUACCAACAGUGGGGCCAAAAGCAGCACAUUCAUUUGAAAUGUGCUUGCUUUAAAAUGACUCCUGAAUUGUGAUGAGCUUCUUGCAUAGAUGGGGAACUGAUGAUGAAAUAAGUUUAUGUGUCCAAGGUCAUAAAAUGAGCUUAAAUUAAGAUGACUACUCCAAACGAUCCUGCCUGCACUGGACCACAUGUUCUGUAAUUCUUGAUCAAUAUUCACUGCAUUUUCCUGUUAAACAAAAUGGAGAGGACCAGUUUUUGAUGCCCGCCUCUCUUAAUUGCCUUCCUCCACAAAAGUACAACUAAAAUUUCAUGUCAUGUUAUCUUCCCUGCCCUCUGCAUUAAAAAAGAGGAAGAAGAGAUGUGGCUUUGGCUAUGAUGAUAAUGGAAGGAGAUCCUUCUGCAGAGUGUCUAUGGUGAGAGUGUGCCACUGUGAGCCUCCUCUCGGACCAUGGUACUGUCUGAUAUAUUGUCUACUCACAUUUGCUUUCAUGUCUCUGUUGUGGAAACAUCAUAUUCAAGUCAAAUACCUUUAAUGACAUGUAAAUAAACAAAAACAUAACAUCACAGCAUUCCAAUUAAUGCAAGUUAGAAAGACUUAAGAUUACACCAUUCAAAAAUUUGGCCACAGCUUCCAGCACCCCAUAGCAAUAGAAUAGAAUAGAAUCUUUAUUGGCCAAGUGUGAUUGGACACACAAGGAAAUUGUCUCCGGUGCAUAUGC